CCUACGGGAGGCAGCAGUGAGGAAUAUUGGUCAAUGGGCGUAAGCCUGAACCAGCCAAGUCGCGUGAGGGAUGACGGCUCUAUGGAUUGUAAACUUCUUUUAUAUGGGAAUAAAGCGUGGGAUGCGUCCUGUCUUGUAUGUACCUUAUGAAUAAGGAUCGGCUAACUCCGUGCCAGCAGCCGCGGUAAUACGGAGGAUCCGAGCGUUAUCCGGAUUUAUUGGGUUUAAAGGGUGCGUAGGGGGCCUGUUAAGUCAGUGGUGAAAGUCUGUGGCUCAACCGUAGAAUUGCAGUUGAAACUGGGAGGCUUGAGUACAGUAGAGGCAGGCGGAAUGCGUGGUGUAGCGGUGAAAUGCUUAGAUAUCACGAAGAACCCCGAUGGCGAAGGCAGCCCACUGGACCGUAACUGACGCUGAUGCUCGAAAGCGUGGGGAUCAAACAGGAUUAGAUACCCGUGUAGUC
rnacentral:rRNA from 1 species